AUCAGUUGGAAAAUGGAAGCUCUGCCAGAGGAAAUUUUCUGGAUUGUCAUCAUUUGCAUCUUUGACAACAAGAUUACCAGAAUCUAAAAGCACUGCAACUGGAUUUUGGACUGAUCUUGAGGUGUUAGUAGACCAUAUAAUUUCAUUCUUGUCAUUGAGAAGUGCAAGUAUUCCCGGUUCGGUGACCUUCAAAAUGACUGAAGAUGUAUUGGUAAGUGGUUUCUCUCUGUUUGCAACCCAUACUACUGUUUGCAUAUGAGGAAGAAUUUGCUUGUACCAUAUCCCAAUAUAUCGAUUUGAGGAACCGCUGAGGUUGAAGAAUCCCAGCUCAAAGGUUCCACCGGAUGAAACAAUAGUUUCACCAUCUAUGAUGAAUUGAUUUGUACUGAUUAAAUCUGUUGUUGUAGUAGAAAUAAUAUUGUGUAUAGAAGAACAGAAAACCA